GCUAUACUGCACCGAGUCGGUUCUAGCGGGGAGCAGCCGCUAGAGGUAACGGGGAAAGUUCGGUGUAAAUCCGGCACUGUCCCGCAGCUGUGAAGGAGAAGCGUUUCUCCGAGUCAGAAUGCCCGCCGAUUCAGUCCUACAAAG
rnacentral:ncRNA from 2 species